GCAAGCUUCAGGCCUAACACAUGCAAGUCGAGCGGUAGAGAGAAGCUUGCUUCUCUUGAGAGCGGCGGACGGGUGAGUAAUGCCUAGGAAUCUGCCUGGUAGUGGGGGAUAACGUUCGGAAACGGACGCUAAUACCGCAUACGUCCUACGGGAGAAAGCAGGGGACCUUCGGGCCUUGCGCUAUCAGAUGAGCCUAGGUCGGAUUAGCUAGUUGGUGAGGUAAUGGCUCACCAAGGCGACGAUCCGUAACUGGUCUGAGAGGAUGAUCAGUCACACUGGAACUGAGACACGGUCCAGACUCCUACGGGAGGCAGCAGUGGGGAAUAUUGGACAAUGGGCGAAAGCCUGAUCCAGCCAUGCCGCGUGUGUGAAGAAGGUCUUCGGAUUGUAAAGCACUUUAAGUUGGGAGGAAGGGCAGUAAAUUAAUACUUUGCUGUUUUGACGUUACCGACAGAAUAAGCACCCGCUAACUCUGUGCCAGCAGCCGCGGUAAUACAGAGGGUGCAAGCGUUAAUCGGAAUUACUGGGCGUAAAGCGCGCGUAGGUGGUUUGUUAAGUUGGAUGUGAAAUCCCCGGGCUCAACCUGGGAACUGCAUUCAA
rnacentral:rRNA from 1 species